rnacentral:lncRNA from 1 species
CUGAGCUGCUAAGCAGAAGAUAGUAGAGGUCACACAAGGACACAGGAAGUCAGAUGCCGUGGUAUAAGGAUGAAUAUCUUUAAAACAUGUCGGGAUCAUGGAAGCCCAUUUUCUAUAUAUAUAAAAAUGUAUAUAAACACACAAAUAUACAUGUUUGACAGUCUAUUCAAAAUCCCUAAUGCAAGCUUGAAAAACAACAAAAAAUUUUACACUACAUUACUGAGAACUGUCCUGAACACAAUGUCACAAACCACACAAUCUUAAUGGUUUGAAAAAUGUUUUUUUAUUUUAUUUAAACUAUAAACAAUGCCCCCCGCCCCCUCUUUUUCUUUUUCUUUUUUUGAUUUGGGGUGAAAUAUAUCUGAUCAUGUUCUGGACAGGCUUCAUGAGAUUCACCCACACCUAUUUCUCUCCGGCCAUUUUUUUAACCCCUAAAGUGUCCCAGAAUCCCCUACUCACAGCAUGCAGGAUGAAUCAGCGGGAAAACAGGGUGGUGGGGAAAUGCAGAGAGAUUAAACACUUUGGCUGGCAGCUGAUGGCGGCUCUGAGUGUGGCUGCUCUUUAUCGCGGCCAACAGAGUACGACGAGGACAUGGGGUCAUCUCACUGCGCAGAGGCCAGUUCUACACAAGACAUCUGCUGCUGCUGGCAGGGACCAAUGGACAGAAACAGGGCACAUCUGCAGACUCAGAUCAUUGGCACUGCGGGACGGGGUCACAGGAGUGGACGUGUUUAUGAAAAAAAGCUAUGAGCUAUGUAUGAGAGACAGGCAACAUGAGUUUAAUGUCUCAUAUGGGCGACUCUUGGUUCAGAUGGUGGCCUGGGCUCCUGGUGCUUUUUUCUAGGUCGACCCGUGGAUUUUCACACGUUCCACUCCAACACCUCCCAUCCACCAGUCAGUUUGCGCUGGCACAGGGCAGCUGGCGUGAAAACCUCACCCCUAUAUCCCAUCAGCAGUCAGCGGGUAUCAUGCUGGCAUGACUGUGCACAAUCUGGGCUUUGAGCGAUCGCGAUGAGAGAUGGAAAGGGGAAAC